UCUGCGUGUUGAACGAGUGGAUUACUCAAAUCGAUGGAGCCAGCUAAACAGACUUUUUUGGAUAUAAAGACGGAUUUUAUCUAACAAAACGUCCAUGCAUGUUGCAGCUGGGACCCUUGGAAUUGCAAAUCAGAGGAAGAUUUUCAAAAAUUUGUCAAAUGCAGUGUACCUGCUGCGAGAGAUGGAGGGGAUGAGAGGCAAGAACAUCAAUCUCUUCUUCAUGUAUGACAUUGCAUGCAAGAUGCAGCCACAUGUGCAAAAACUUUCCUGAAUUGAAGCAUGAGACCAAGUUCGUUAUGCCAGUUUUCCAUGCUUAUGGACAUGACUUGCCAUGUCAGGUACUUGAAC